rnacentral:rRNA from 1 species
CAGCCGCCGCGGUAAUACGUAGGUGGCAAGCGUUGUCCGGAAUUAUUGGGCGUAAAGCGCGCGCAGGCGGAUCAGUUAGUCUGUCUUAAAAGUUCGGGGCUUAACCCCGUGAUGGGAUGGAAACUGCUGAUCUAGAGUAUCGGAGAGGAAAGUGGAAUUCCUAGUGUAGCGGUGAAAUGCGUAGAUAUUAGGAAGAACACCAGUGGCGAAGGCGACUUUCUGGACGAAAACUGACGCUGAGGCGCGAAAGCCAGGGGAGCGAACGGGAUUAGAUACCCCUGUAGUCCCUGUCUCUUAUACA